AUUGAACGCUGGCGGCAGGCUUAACACAUGCAAGUCGAGCGGGGGAAGGUAGCUUGCUACCGGACCUAGCGGCGGACGGGUGAGUAAUGCUUAGGAAUCUGCCCAUUAGUGGGGGACAACAUCUCGAAAGGGAUGCUAAUACCGCAUACGUCCUACGGGAGAAAGCAGGGGAUCUUCGGACCUUGCGCUAAUAGAUGAGCCUAAGUCGGAUUAGCUAGUUGGUGGGGUAAAGGCCUACCAAGGCGACGAUCUGUAGCGGGUCUGAGAGGAUGAUCCGCCACACUGGGACUGAGACACGGCCCAGACUCCUACGGGAGGCAGCUGUGGGGAAUAUUGGACAAUGGGGGGAACCCUGAUCCAGCCAUGCCGCGUGUGUGAAGAAGGCCUUAUGGUUGUAAAGCACUUUAAGCGAGGAGGAGGCUACUCUAGUUAAUACCUAGGGAUAGUGGACGUUACUCGCAGAAUAAGCACCGGCUAACUCUGUGCCAGCCGCCGCGGUGAGAC
rnacentral:rRNA from 1 species